CCCUGGCUUCAGAUGAGCCCGCCCCGUGCACACGCUCACCACUUCACAGAGGACAUCACAGAGGAUAUGUGUUGUAAACAAUGAAUAAUAGCGGCGUAAAGAAAUUCAUUUAUCACAGUCGGGCCUGGAACCAAUCAACCGCUACGAACAAAGGACAACUGCAUUGAAAAAAAAAUGCAGGUUUCGCUACACAUCUUCAAAGCUGCGUGUUGUGGAAACAAUGAGUGUGCCUGCAGACCCUUAUUUGUCCAGUCACGGCACACCCGUGGAACAGGAACAGCACCAGCACCAGCACCACCACCGGGAGGUGGAUGGCUGACAGUAAGCGAGAAAAAACUGUAAGGAGUCUCGCUAGAGAGCGAGACCUCCAUGUCAAUAAAUAUUAUCACAUGUGUCUAAUUUGUGUUUAAAAAUGUAAGCACACGUCAGAGUGUGACUGACGAUGACUCAGAGGGACGGAUGGGGGUCAGAAGCGGCCGUCAGGGUAAAUGAUCUCUGGGGCGACGAAAGCAGGAAGUAGAGGGGAGUGUGUAUGGGGGUAGGGGCGGUGUAUUUUGCAGACGCCUGCCCCCAGGAGAUGGAUCACAGAUGUCUGACACAAGACCGCUGCAGUUAAUUGUCAAACUAAAGAGCCUGGCAUUCUCCUUGCAGUCUUUCUCAGACUGCUUUUCACGUAUGGCUUCUACAGACGGUAACAGUUACAGUACAAUACGUUUUGGAAAUACCGGUGUUGGUCGCCACAUCCGAGACCGGAAGGAGAUAACCUGGAAAAAAGUAGCCCGGCAAAUUCUUGUUAAAGUCAAUGAUCAAGUCUGGGAACAUGUUUUGUUUUGGGUCAUGACAGAUCCACACUGUGUAGAAAGGAACUCCCGCUGGCAGCCCUGAGGUCGGCUACGCGUGUGUGGGGUCCCACGGGCGCUGUAACGUUACCCCCCCAGUACCGUCUAGCAGCGCCGUCACCCGCACCCGGAGAGCCGUCUGGCUGCAAAUCAAGUCACAGCUGCGCCGACCAUUAGCUCGCAUUACAGCAAAUUAAGCAGGCAAACUUCUAGAAAAAAAAAGAGUCCAGUCUGCUUUGUGCUCAGAUUUGUGCUCCUUUGAGGACGAGCGGAUGAACUUGAUGCAUUUUAAAUAUAUAAAAACAGCUAAAAAAGGAGGAACACACGCAUGCACGGGGAGAACAUGCAGACUGAUGCCCCCCAUUUCCAUCAUGAACCAAGCUACAGUCACUUUUUUAUUAUUAUUGUUAUGAACAUUGUUACGCCUAAGAACUACAUUACUGGUGUAGUGACACCUCACCAGUGUAGUGCUAGGUGUAGCAUUCCUUUCUAUGUUGCUAUGUGAAAUCAAUGCACCCAGGAAGGAAGUUUUCCUUUAGGUUUAGAAUAAACUAAAUGAAUACAAUGUUGAGAUAUUGUGGGUGAAUGCCCCAAGAAUGGAAAACAAUGAAUUUUGAAAAAUAAAAACUCAAGAAAAAGAAAAAAAGUUGGAGAAAAGCAAAAGAGCAAAAAAUGGGGAAAAAAAGAAAUGGAGGGGGGAGAAGUUAGAUGACAAAUUGUCAAAGCAGAAGAUGCCUAAAUUUAAAAUUCACUUUUCACAAAUUGGACACGCUAACUUGUUUUGCUACCAGAAGCCGUCUGUUAUGUCCCUGCAAUUAUCCUGUAGCCUGGGCAAUGUGAUGUAAACAAAUAACAGGAGUGUAAAAGUGACUAUAGGGCUGUUAUUUCAUGUCUACAGGGCUCUAAUAAUGUUAAAAGCCAUAUCUAGAAAGUCAUAAACAGGCUUUGUAUGCUGUAACUGCAAAAAUAUUCCCUUUAUUAAUAUUGAAUCCUACUUAUUGCAGUCAGGUCUGGAACCAAUUAACCGCCACGAAUGUGUUGUGAUCUGGGGCAUGACCCAUAUCGCAAUUUUGCCCCAUUUAGGUAGAGUAGCUGUGGAUGGUUAGAAAUCUGGACCUGUACGGAUAAUAAAUGCUUGCAGACGUUUCAUGUGCCUUUUCCUUUCAUAUCCUCUCUCUCUCUCCCGUCUAAAAUAAACUGUGAAGUAAGCAACUUUGGAGUUCCAGC